rnacentral:rRNA from 1 species
CGCGUGGGAAUGUGCCUUUUGGUUCGGAAUAGCCCCGGGAAACGUUGGGAGUAAUACCGGAUGUGCCCUUCGGGGGAAAGAUUUAUCGCCAAAGGAUCAGCCCGCGUUAGAUUAGCUAGUUGGUGAGGUAACGGCUCACCAAGGCGACGAUCUAUAGCUGGUCUGAGAGGACGACCAGCCACACUGGGACUGAGACACGGCCCAGACUCCUACGGGAGGCAGCAGUGGGGAAUCUUGGACAAUGGGCGCAAGCCUGAUCCAGCCAUGCCGCGUGAAUGAUGAAGGCCUUAGGGUUGUAAA